rnacentral:rRNA from 1 species
UACGUAGGUGGCAAGCGUUGUCCGGAUUUAUUGGGUUUAAAGGGUGCGUAGGCGGCUAACUAAGUCAGUGGUGAAAUACUCCAGCUUAACUGGAGGGGUGCCAUUGAUACUGGAUAGCUUGAGUACAGAUGAGGUAGGCGGAAUUGACGGUGUAGCGGUGAAAUGCAUAGAUAUCGUCAAGAACUCCGAUAGCGAAGGCAGCUUACUAAGCUGUAACUGACGCUGAGGCACGAAAGUGUGGGGAUCAAACAGG